AUUGAACGCUGGCGGCAUGCUUUACACAUGCAAGUCGAACGGCAGCGCGGGCUUCGGCCUGGCGGCGAGUGGCGAACGGGUGAGUAAUAUAUCGGAACGUACCCAAGAGUGGGGGAUAACGUAGCGAAAGUUACGCUAAUACCGCAUACGAUCUAAGGAUGAAAGCAGGGGACCUUCGGGCCUUGUGCUCCUGGAGCGGCCGAUAUCUGAUUAGCUAGUUGGUGAGGUAAAGGCUCACCAAGGCAACGAUCAGUAGCUGGUCUGAGAGGACGACCAGCCACACUGGAACUGAGACACGGGCCAGACUCCUACGGGAGGCAGCAGUGGGGAAUUUUGGACAAUGGGGGCAACCCUGAUCCAGCAAUGCCGCGUGAGUGAAGAAGGCCUUCGGGUUGUAAAGCUCUUUUGUCAGGGAAGAAAAGGGAGUGGCUAAUAUCCAUUCCUGCUGACGGUACCUGAAGAAUAAGCACCGGCUAACUACGUGCCAGCAGCCGCCGUAACAC
rnacentral:rRNA from 1 species